GAGGAAUAUUGGUCAAUGGGCGAGAGCCUGAACCAGCCAAGUCGCGUGAAGGAAGACUGCCUUAUGGGUUGUAAACUUCUUUUAUACAGGAAUAAAAAGGCUUACGUGUAGGCCAUUGCAAGUACUGUAUGAAUAAGCAUCGGCUAACUCCGUGCCAGCAGCCGCGGUAAUACGGAGGAUGCGAGCGUUAUCCGGAUUUAUUGGGUUUAAAGGGUGCGUAGGCGGUUUAUCAAGUCAGGGGUGAAAGGCUACGGCUCAACCGUAGUGAGCCUCUGAAACUGGUGAACUUGAGUGUAGGAGAGGAAAGUGGAAUUCCCAGUGUAGCGGUGAAAUGCGUAGAUAUUGGGAGGAACACCAGUGGCGAAGGCGACUUUCUGGACUACAACUGACGCUGAGGCACGAAAGCGUGGGGAGCAAACA
rnacentral:rRNA from 1 species